rnacentral:tRNA from 1 species
GCCCAGGUGGCGGAAUUGGUAGACGCGCUGCGUUCAGGUCGCAGUGACCGCAAGGUCGUGGAAGUUCGAGUCUUCUCCUGGGCACCA